UUCGAUAUUCAAAUGGGCAAAAUCCAAAUGUAGUAACAAGAAAAAAUUUCCAUUUUCCAUAAAAACCCCUCGAAAAGGGUUUUUCUAUUCCCCUCGCCUCACUUUCACACUCCUUCCCACUUCCUCUUUUCAAUUCUUCUCCAGGUGGAGAACACUCUCUAAAAAUUUUCAACAAUAUUUUUUAACUAUCGUUUAUUUAUAUGUAUUGAAAAUAUUUCUUUUUUAUAUGUAAAGCUUUAAAUUUAUAGUAUUAGAUUAUUUGUUGUAGAAGAGGUUCUUGAUUAGACGGGGAGAAUUUUUUGAGUUUCAAGGUAUGCAUCUUGAUCAGAUGGCGUUGAGCUUGCGAUCUAGAGGUGGAAUCCGCGGAGUAUUUGGCCCGCGUUUGGGCAACUACUUGGCCGCUGACAAUUCUGGUCCCUCAGUAUUGCUUCCCUCUCUUCCUUCAAGGGUGAUCUUGCAAUUGAUAUGCCCAAAGCACCUGCUAGCUAGGUGAGAUUAUUUGGAAACUAGUUUUUGUUGGGGGAACUCUACUUCAAGAUCGUCGAGGAUAUCCUGAAAAGGUGCAUGCAUCAGAAUCUUUAUUCAGAAUAGAUGAUCAAAACAGAUCUUUUUACAGCCAUAACAUUAAAAGCUUCAACUCAACAGACAACUGGAAUUCAAAGUCGAACCUUGUUCACUACAGACUCUCAGGAGAUAGGUGUCCAAAUUAAAAGGAGGGUACACACAGUACCGACAUAUCCUGGCACAGGCGCUUGCGCAAGACCAAAAUCAUCAGCAAUUCGUAAUGACAAAUCUAUGUUUCAAUUCUGUUUUCUUCUCAGUUUCUCGAUUUUGUUUGGCCGCUUCUUGAUCUAAGAGAUUUAUUAGUUGUUAUUACUGCAUCUGUUACAUCUCCCGUUGCUCGUGAGUAAAUGAAAAGAAUACAAAGAGAUAUGAUUUGAUUUACUGAUAUUUUAUUAAGUUUGUAGUGUAUUUGUUGGACCGUUGAAAAUUUUUCGUUUAUCGUUUGUGUUUGUUCUGUGUAUCCUACAAACAUUCCUGCACGGAAAAUCUUAAUUUCGUCCCGUAGA